AGUCACUGACAUUAGAUACCCCCGUAGUCCAGGGUGUAAACGCUGCAGACUUGGUGUUGGAGGCCCUUUGGGGGCAUUCAGUGCCGGAGAGAAGUUGUUAAGUCUGCUACUUGGGGAGUACGUCCGCAAGGAUGAAACUUAAAGGAAUUGGCGGGGGAGCACCGCAACGGGAGGAGCGUGCGGUUUAAUUGGAUUCAACACCGUAAGACUCACCAGGGAAGACUGUUACAUGAAGGCCGAGAUGAAGACUCUGCUAGAUUUUCAG
rnacentral:rRNA from 1 species